CACUACGCCAAAUAAGGGAAAAGAGGGCGCUUUUUUUGGCCUAUAACAGCGCUUUAAAGCGCCCUCUAAUCUGGCGCUGGCAUAGGUAAAGACAGCGUUUUUUUUCCUGGUGAAAGCGCUCUCUAAAGUGGCUCUUUAAGCCCAUUAAGGGCCACUUUAGAGGGCGCUUUUUAAAGAAAGCGCCCUCUAAAGUGGAAACUUUUAAGGGUUUAGAGGGCGCUUUUACUGGAAAGCGCCCUCUAAAGUGGAAACUUUUAAGGGUUUAGAGGGCGCUUUUACUGGAAAGCGCCCUCUAAAGUGGAAAUUUAAAGGGUUUAGAGGGCGCUUAUUUUGGAAAGCGCCCUCUAAAGUGGGUGGUUAUUUAAAUUUUUUUUUUUAAAAAGCGCUAUAUUUUUUAUUUAUUUUAGACAACCUGUAUAUUGAAG
rnacentral:lncRNA from 1 species